rnacentral:rRNA from 1 species
ACUUAAAUUGAAGAGUUUGAUCAUGGCUCAGAUUGAACGCUGGCGGCAGGCCUAACACAUGCAAGUCGAACGGUAACAGGAAGCAGCUUGCUGCUUCGCUGACGAGUGGCGGACGGGUGAGUAAUGUCUGGGAAACUGCCUGAUGGAGGGGGAUAACUACUGGAAACGGUGGCUAAUACCGCAUAACGUCGCAAGACCAAAGAGGGGGACCUUCGGGCCUCUUGCCAUCAGAUGUGCCCAGAUGGGAUUAGCUAGUUGGUGAGGUAACGGCUCACCAAGGCGACGAUCCCUAGCUGGUCUGAGAGGAUGACCAGCCACACUGGAACUGAGACACGGUCCAGACUCCUACGGGAGGCAGCAGUGGGGAAUAUUGCACAAUGGGCGCAAGCCUGAUGCAGCCAUGCCGCGUGUAUGAAGAAGGCCUUCGGGUUGUAAAGUACUUUCAGCGGGGAGGAAGG